GGUAGUGCAACGGUUAAAGCACGCGCUCCCGAAUAGAGUGAGAUGUGGUUUCGAGUCCUACCUGAAACA